ACUCACUUCAUCAGCACUGUCUAAAAUUGGAACGAUACAGAGAAGAUUAUCACGGCCCCUGCACAAGGAUGACACAGAAAUUCGUGAAGCGUUCCAUAUUUUA
ensembl:snRNA U6 U6 spliceosomal RNA